ACAAACGUGGAUGUUGGAAGAGUUGAUAUCUAUAAAGGUAGCACUGAAAGAUUACAAACGUGGAUGUUGGGAGAGUUGAUAUCUAUAAAGGUAGCACUGAAAGAUUUAACCAAAAUUACAAAUGUGGAUGUUGGGACAGUUGAUAUCUAUAAAGGUAGCACUGAAAGAUUUAACCAAAAUUACAAAUGUGGAUGUUGGGAGAUUUGAUAUCUAUAAAGGUAGCACUGAAAGAUUUAACCAAAAUUACAAACGUGGAUGUUGGGAGAGUUGAUAUCUAUAAAGGUAGCACUGAAAGAUUUAACCAAAAUUACAUCUACUUCACAGGAUAAGGUUGAGUUUGGCAGUAUACUUCACCAGUCUUAAAGACACGAAGGAGAGGAAAAUUUACCAUGAAAUCUGAAACUGUUCAGAAAAGCUUUAUACGUGCACAAAGCAGAAAUUGUGACAUUCGUAC